CCUACGGGAGGCUGCAGUGGGGAAUAUUGGACAAUGGGGGCAACCCUGAUCCAGCCAUGCCGCGUGUGUGAAGAAGGCCCUCGGGUUGUAAAGCACUUUCAGUGAGGAAGAACGCCUGGUGGUUAAUACCCAUCAGGAAAGACAUCACUCACAGAAGAAGCACCGGCUAACUCCGUGCCAGCAGCCGCGGUAAUACGGAGGGUGCGAGCGUUAAUCGGAAUUACUGGGCGUAAAGCGCGCGUAGGUGGCUUGAUAAGCCGGUUGUGAAAGCCCCGGGCUCAACCUGGGAACGGCAUCCGGAACUGUCAAGCUAGAGUGCAGGAGAGGAAGGUAGAAUUCCCGGUGUAGCGGUGAAAUGCGUAGAGAUCGGGAGGAAUACCAGUGGCGAAGGCGGCCUUCUGGACUGACACUGACACUGAGGUGCGAAAGCGUGGGUAGCAAACAGGAUUAUAUACCCUGGUAGUC
rnacentral:rRNA from 1 species